GGUGUUGCUAUUUAUAGUAAUGUUAUGUUCCACCUGUGUUAGGAGGUAAAAUCGGUAUAACUGGUGUUGCUAUUUAUAGUAAUGUAUGUUCCACCUGUGUUAGGAGGUAAAAUCGGUAUAACUGGUGUUGCUAUUUAUAGUGUUCCAUUUGUGUUAGGAGGUAAAAUCAGUAUAGGAGGUAAAAUCAGUAAGACUGGUGUUGCUAUUUAUAGUAAUGUAUGUUCCACCUGUGUUAGGAGGUAAAAUCAGUAAGAUUGGCGUUGCUAUUUAUAGUAAUGUAUGUUCCACCUGUGUUAGGAGGUAAAAUCAGUAAGAUUGGUGUUGCUAUUUAUAGUAAUGUAUGUUCCACCUGUGUUAGGAGGUAAAAUCAGUAUAAUUGGUGUUGCUUUUUAUAGUAAUGUAUGUUCCACCUGUGUUAGGAGGUAAAAUCAGUAUAAUUGGUGUUGCUAAUUUCAGUAAAGAAAACUUAUCUG
rnacentral:lncRNA from 1 species